GAAGAGUUUGAUCAUGGCUCAGAUUGAACGCUGGCGGCAGGCCUAACACAUGCAAGUCGAACGGUAACAGGAAGCAGCUUGCUGCUUUGCUGACGAGUGGCGGACGGGUGAGUAAUGUCUGGGAAACUGCCUGAUGGAGGGGGAUAACUACUGGAAACGGUGGCUAAUACCGCAUAACGUCGCAAGACCAAAGAGGGGGACCUUCGGGCCUCUUGCCAUCAGAUGUGCCCAGAUGGGAUUAGCUUGUUGGUGAGGUAACGGCUCACCAAGGCGACGAUCCCUAGCUGGUCUGAGAGGAUGACCAGCCACACUGGAACUGAGACACGGUCCAGACUCCUACGGGAGGCAGCAGUGGGGAAUAUUGCACAAUGGGCGCAAGCCUGAUGCAGCCAUGCCGCGUGUAUGAAGAAGGCCUUCGGGUUGUAAAGUACUUUCAGCGGGGAGGAAGGUGUUGUGGUUAAUAACCGCAGCAAUUGACGUUACCCGCAGAAGAAGCACCGGCUAACUCCGUGCCAGCAGCCGCGGUAAUACGGAGGGUGCAAGCGUUAAUCGGAAUUACUGGGCGUAAAGCGCACGCAGGCGGUCUGUCAAGUCGGAUGUGAAAUCCCCGGGCUCAACCUGGGAACUGCAUUCGAAACUGGCAGGCUUGAGUCUUGUAGAGGGGGGUAGAAUUCCAGGUGUAGCGGUGAAAUGCGUAGAGAUCUGGAGGAAUACCGGUGGCGAAGGCGGCCCCCUGGACAAAGACUGACGCUCAGGUGCGAAAGCGUGGGGAGCAAACAGGAUUAGAUACCCUGGUAGUCCACGCCGUAAACGAUGUCUACUUGGAGGUUGUGCCCUUGAGGCGUGGCUUCCGGAGCUAACGCGUUAAGUAGACCGCCUGGGGAGUACGGCCGCAAGGUUAAAACUCAAAUGAAUUGACGGGGGCCCGCACAAGCGGUGGAGCAUGUGGUUUAAUUCGAUGCAACGCGAAGAACCUUACCUGGUCUUGACAUCCACAGAACUUUCCAGAGAUGGAUUGGUGCCUUCGGGAACUGUGAGACAGGUGCUGCAUGGCUGUCGUCAGCUCGUGUUGUGAAAUGUUGGGUUA
rnacentral:rRNA from 1 species